rnacentral:rRNA from 1 species
ACGAACGCUGGCGGCGUGCUUAACACCUGCAAGUCGCACGGAAAGGCCCUGCUUUUGUGGGGUGCUCGAGUGGCGAACGGGUGAGUAACACGUGAGUAACCUGCCCUUGACUUUGGGAUAACUUCAGGAAACUGGGGCUAAUACCGGAUAGGAGCUCCUGCUGCAUGGUGGGGGUUGGAAAGUUUCGGCGGUUGGGGAUGGACUCGCGGCUUAUCAGCUUGUUGGUGGGGUAGUGGCUUACCAAGGCUUUGACGGGUAGCCGGCCUGAGAGGGUGACCGGCCACAUUGGGACUGAGAUACGGCCCAGACUCCGACGGGAGGCAGCAGUGGGGAAUAUUGCACAAUGGGCGGAAGCCUGAUGCAGCAACGCCGCGUGCGGGAUGACGGCCUUCGGGUUGUAAACCGCUUUCGCCUGUGACGAAGCGUGAGUGACGGUAAUGGGUAAAGAAGCACCGGCUAACUACGUG